CUGCAGUGAUGGAGUUGGCUUUAUGAAUGGCAAUUGCACUCUGCUCACGUGCAGCUCUUUCUGACACAGGCAGGAGUCGGGCAGCGGUACUGCAGCUCCUCUGGCAGCUUUGCAGCUCAUUUGGGAAGCAGAAGAUGUGAAUGUGAAAGAAGUCCGUUGCUGGGACGUUCCCCUGUUCUUCCCCCAGCUGUCCCCUUGCCUCAGCCUGGAUUCCCCUUGCGUUCCUGUAGGAUUCCCUUCCAUCCCCCUGGCUGCCCCUUGCUUUCCCCAAGGCUGCCCUUUCCUUUCUCAUGACAGCCCACCCAUCAUUCCCUCAGAGCCCAUAUAUCCCUCCCAGUGUUUCCCAGCAAGACCCCUAGAGACACCCUGUAGCCCCCCACAGAGCCCUGGAGCCCCUCAAGGACCCCCUCAGACGCAGUACACCUCCCCCAUAGCUGGCCCAUAGCCACAUGGAGCCCCACAGUCCCCAGCAGCACCCCAUGUCCCCCACUGGCUUCCACGGAAUCCUUCUAUUUCCUCCCUCAGACCUCCUUUACACCUCCAAGAUCCUCCCUGGGAACUCACUAACCCCCAUGUUCCCUGACAGGACCCCCAUCACCAUCCCAGGACCCCCAUAGCCCACCUUUGGCCUCUCCUCCCCCCGACCUGCCUCCA
ensembl:lncRNA